CAUUGACUUGGGAUGUUGGGAUUGUUGGUACAAUCUUAUCUUGAUAACUGUUAGAAUAUGACUUUCUGAGAACUGUUUUUGCAAGGCUUAAGUUUUGUCGGUUAGUCAAGGUUCAUAAAGUGGGGAAAGAGAAGUAUUAAAGGCCAGGAGGAAACUGAGGACCCUCUAUCAUGUUUGUUUUAGCCCAAUUACGGUGGUAGCCGGGCUUUCUAGCUACACACACACACACACACACACACACACACAGAGCUUUUUAUAAAAACGGGUUGAAUGAAUGAAUGAGUAUAUGUUUUCUAGUCUUAGCCCUUCUCCAAACACUAGUCUUGGUGCCUAUCAUUUACCAGUACAUACAAGGACCAGACACAACAUUUUCUUCAUUCUUUUUUGACAUCUGCCUUAUAUUGUUUAUCUGUAUACUUAUGUCGUCUACGUGUGAGACCAUAUUUGAAUCUCUCCUUUCUCAAUUCUAUGACCAAUCCCCCACCCUACCCACAUUAUAAGUUCUUUAAUGAGAGGAACUAUGUCUUAUUUUUAACUCAGCAGAAUAUCACGUAUUAUCACUAAUAAUUUUAAUUGGAUUAUAACCAGAAGCAUUCAUUUUUAAUAGCAAAAGUUUCUUUAAUUGCUUAAAGUAGGUUAGUUUUGUAUUUUCAACAAAGGCAAAAUAUCUUUAAUUGUAGGUACAAUGUCUUUUUCUAUGUCCUCAAGACUUUGUACCAUCUUGGCCAUAUAAUGGAACAUUCAGAAUUACUUUUCAAAUCAUUAACUUUGAUUUCCCAGGUAUAUAAAUUAUUUUUGAGUAGUAUUUUGAACACUGAAGAAUUUCACUUAUUUGGCAUCUGGAUUUGUUUGACAGAUAAUUUAAAGAGUCUUAUAAUUAUAAAAUAUGAUCAUUUAUUGAGACAGAUGUACAUAUGGUGCACCUUUUGAAAUUAAAUGAAAAGUGCCUGAGUCUAACAUCUGUGUUGAAGGCAUCAUCACAGCACGUCUCCCAGAAACCAUUUGAUACUGUCAUUGCUUCCACUAGAAAGAAUAUUCUACCGUGUCUGUUCUAUAAAAGUUUGUUAUUUUAUUUCAGAGAUAUAUCUUUAUAGUUUUGGCUUUAUGUUACAAUUGUAAGUGCCCUUUACCGCCAUGAGUUUAUUAGGUUCAAUUAUAUAUUAUGUUAGGAUAUAGACUAAGCUGCUACAACAAAAUAUUCCAACACACAAGGGCUUAAAUCUAAAUUUAUUUUUCUCGUAUGUAAUAGGCAGAAGCGAGCAGUGCAGGUUUGUUGAGGAGGCUCUGGUUUCCUAGGUCAUUCAGGGACCCAGUCUCAUUCCUUCCAUGGUACACCAUCAUCCCCUAGUGUGUUGUACUUGUCUAUUUUGUCAAAGCUGGCCCACCCUUUGUCCACAAUCUAGCUGAAAAAAAAUUGAGAAUUGCUUUUUUUGUUUGUUUAUUUUUGCUUUUUUUUUGUUUUGUCUUUUGUCCUUUUAGGGCUGCACCCACGGCAUAUGGAGGUUCCCAGGCUAGGGGUCUAAUUGGAGCUGUUGCUGCGGGCCUACACCACAGUCAUAGCAACGCCACAUCCCAGCCAUGUCUGUGACCUACACCACAGCUCAUGGCAAUGCCAGAUCCUUAACCCCCUGAGCGAGGCCAGGGAUUGAACCCGCAACCCCAUGGUUCCUACUCAGAUUUGUUUCUGCUGUGCCAUGAUGGGAACUCCAAAGAUCAUUGUUUUUAGGGAGACAACUUAGAAGUUACUUAACAUAAAUUCCUCUCCCAUCCUGUUGGCCAAACUUAGACACAAUGCUAUGCUUAGCUGCAAACAAGCAAACAAACAGCCAAACCAAAACCAAAAUCAAAACCAAAAAACCUGGGUGUAUAUCUAUAAGCUUCAUGAAGAGUCAACCCGCUAAAACCCCAACAAUUCUGUUAUUAAAAUUUACUAUAGGGAACAGAUAUCAGUGGACAGUCUGACUCAGUCUGUUUCUCUGGCCCCUCCACGAUUGCCUGCUUCCCACAGGUAGACCACACUCUUUCCAAAUGGGGCAGUCAACAUUCCAUUCAACAUUUAGGUUAUUCCAUCUACGUAAAAAUCGAGACCAAACUAAGUGGUGCGUCUUUCUCCUUGUCAAGUGUGAACUUGGCCCUUUGCCAUCUAAACUAACUCAUCAUGUGAAAGUGACGUGUGUCUCUGACACCCAUUAUACCAAGGUGGAUCUGGAACAGAGUAACCAUGAUAAUUGCCUAUUAGUGAAGUAGGAAGAAUGGGAGCAGUCACUGCUCCAUAGCCACGACAAAAAUAUGAUAUGAAUAAUUUUAAGAUACUUACUCUAGUCCUCGAGUAAAUGGUUCAGCUAGACCUUUGUCUGGAUCUCUGGGGGGAAAUUUCUGGUCUAUUUUCCUUAAAAUAUCCUGACUCUUCUCUCUGGGGUAGGGUUGGGAAUUUUUUUAUGUCCCUUACUUUGUGUGUGUGUGUGUGUGUGUGUGUGCAAUGCAACUAAAAUGGAAUUUGAGAGUACACUCUUCAUGAGCACUGUUUUAAGGGCAAUUAUGGGCUUCUAAUAAAUUCAUGUAAAAGUCACCACACUCAGGUUAUUUGAUGAAGACUCCUUAAGUCUCUCACGUAUUUAUUUUUACUGUAUCUAUGCUUGAACUCUCCUUCUUCCUUUCAAUUUAAUACUAGCUAGUGUAAGGUCUUAAAAUACAGGCAUCGAAUACUUAGUUAAUUUGGCCUUUGUCCCUGGCUACAUUCAAUGUUUGACUAAAAAGUUUGAUUUUCAGAAGGAAUUUAAAGAAAGGUUUUGCUGUUUAGAGCACAAAAGCUAUUCACUUGCCAGCCCUGUGUGGUCAUACACCUCUCUGUCAGAACAGAUAGAAUGCCAAAGGCAAAAAAUGUCUCCAUUAAGGAGUCUCCUUUCUUUAAUCUUGAGUUUCACACUGGCCUAUUCAUACAUGAGCUCCUUUUUUUCUUAUAGGAUUUUCUGAAAGAACAUCCCUCAUAAAUAUUCUGAGUUUUCCAGAGCACUAAUAGGCUCAGCCAGUAUGUUGUCUGCCUUUCAGUUUUUCCCAGGUUGUGUCUUAGUUUGGAGUGCUAUAGUAGGACAACAUAAACUAGGUAGCUUAAACAAUCAGUUUAUAUUCCUCACAGUUCUAGAGACUAGAGAUCUGAGACCAGGGUGCUAGCAUGGUCGGGUGCUAGUGAGAGACCUGUUCUUGGUUUGCAGAUGGUUCUCUUCCUGUAUCUUCCUAGAGCAGAGAGAGAGCAUCUUUCUUGUGUCUCCUUUUAUAAGGGAACUAAUCCAAUCCACGAAGCCUCCAUCACCAUGAUUUAAUUAGCCCUUGAAGGCCUCACCUCCAAAUACCAUCACACUGGGAAUCAGGGCUUCAGCACAUUAAUUUUCAGGGGAUACAAAUAUUCAAUCCGUUGCAGACUGUAUUUUUUUAUAAUGGUUUUCUUGGCAAUAAAGUAGAUCACUAACUUCUCAAGAGUCAAUAUUUAUUUCCUCAUCAUCAUUUACCUAUUUGUUAAACAAAAAACACAGAUUUUGAGUACUUAUUAUUUUAAUAUCUCACAUCUCAUGCCAAAUUUUUACUUGAGAUGAGGUACAAGGUAAAUCUCUAUAACAGAUGACCUCAAAUGAUUGUUACUUUAAAUUAUAUUGACAUUUAUUUUCUCAUAUUCUAUCAGAGGAGAGAGGUCAAGGCUGCUAGAAUAGGUCUACUACAGAGAAUAAUUUAUGAAUAUAGGUUUGCUCAUAGGAUAAUAUUCUCGUUGAUGGUAGGGCAUAUUGUUCACUUCUAUGUGGAUUGGAGGCAGAAAAAAGAGAACAUUCAGAGUAAACGACUCUGAAGACAUUGUCUUUGAAGUUGCACCUGUCUCUUGUACUCACAGCCCAUUGGAUCCAAACUUAAUCCCAUGGUUAUACAUAGCUGCUAUGAAGAUGGGAAACCAAGUGAGUAGUAGGGAGUCCCAACUCUGUGUGAGCCAAACUAACAGGGUUCUAUUAUCUAUAAAAAGGAAGAAAGCAAAGAAAAUAAAAGCAUUCUUGAGGACAUUUAGCAACAUAAAAUAUUAAUUUUAAAAGAGUUUUAUUGUAUUUAAUUUCAAAGAUUUUUUUAUCUUUUACUAAGGAUCAGUUUUGUCCUAUGUUUCAGAAUUGAAGCAUUAAUAACAAAUAUCUCUUGGUAGUUACUAGAAGUAGGACAUAGAAAAAUUUUCCCUCCUCUUGGAAUAUCAAAAACAUAAUCAAAUAGAUAAUUCUUAAAAUCUGGAGGAAAUAGCCCUAUCAUAGCACUAAAACAUUUUUCUCUAUGAAUUCUUAAAAAUAUUCAGUUUUAUAGGAAUACAAUAUCUGUUAACUGAGUUUGACUAUUUUUCUAAAGCAAUUUAUUUGGGUCACUGCACUUUUUAUACUACUCUUUGAUGUAUUCUCUACAGAAUUCUCGAUUGACUGCAAAAAUGAUUAACAGUAGGCUCCCCUGCUGUUCAACUCAGUCAUUCAUGACUUUACCAGAUGGUUUUGCUUUUGGGGCCAAUGAUUUUUUUUUUUAUAUUGUUUCCCCUCCCCUGGAUAGAGUCAAGAUCCAAAAUAUGACAUUCAUUUAAAUUUCAUGACUUUAGUAGAAAAUAUUAUGCAGGU
rnacentral:lncRNA from 1 species